CCUACGGAGGGCAGCAGUGGGGAAUAUUGCACAAUGGGCGGAAGCCUGAUGCAGCGACGUCGCGUGAGGGAUGGAGGCCUUCGGGUUGUGAACCUCUUUCGCCAGUGAGGAAGGCCUUGCCUGUGUGGUGGGGUUGACGGUAGCUGGGUUAAUUGAAGCGCCGGCUAACUACGUGCCAGCAGCCGCGGUAAUACGUAGGGCGCGAGCGUUGUCCGGAAUUAUUGGGCGUAAAGGGCUUGUAGGCGGUUGGUCGCGUCUGCCGUGAAAUCCUCUGGCUCAGCUGGGGGCGUGCGGUGGGUACGGGCUGGUUUGAGUGCGGUAGGGGAGGCUGGAACUCCUGGUGUAGCGGUGGAAUGCGCAGAUAUCAGGAGGAACACCGGUGGCGAAGGCGGGUCUCUGGGCCGUUACUGACGCUGAGGAGCGAAAGCGUGGGGAGCGAACAGGAUUAGAUACCCCUGUAGUC
rnacentral:rRNA from 1 species